rnacentral:rRNA from 1 species
AUUGACCGCUGGCGGCAGGCCUAACACAUGCAAGUCGAGCGAGUGGCGGACGGGUGCGUAAUGUCUGGGAAACUGCCUGAUGGCGGGGGAUAACUACUGGAAACGGUAGCUAAUACCGCAUACCAUCGGAUGUGCCCAGAUGGGAUUAGCUAGUAGGUGGGGUAAAGGCUAGCCCAGGCGACGAUCCCUAGCUGGUCUGAGAGGCUGACCAGCCACACUGGAACGUGUACACGGACCAGACUCCUACGGGAGGCAGCAGUGGGGAAUAUUGCAGAAUGGGCGCAAGCCUGAUGCAGCCAUGCCGCGUGUAUGAAGAAGGCCGUCGGGUUGUAAAGUACUUUCAGCGAGGAGGCGUUACCCGCAGAAGAAGCACCGGCUAACUCCGUGCCAGCCGCCGCGGUAAUAC